rnacentral:rRNA from 1 species
GACGAACGCUGGCGGCGUGCUUAACACAUGCAAGUCGAACGAUGAAGCCUAGCUUGCUAGGUGGAUUAGUGGCGAACGGGUGAGUAAUACGUGAGUAACCUACCUUUAACUCUGGGAUAAGCCCGGGAAACUGGGUCUAAUACCGGAUACGACCAAUCUCCGCAUGGGGUGUUGGUGGAAAGCGUUAUGUAGUGGUUAUAGAUGGGCUCACGGCCUAUCAGCUUGUUGGUGAGGUAACGGCUCACCAAGGCGACGACGGGUAGCCGGCCUGAGAGGGUGACCGGCCACACUGGGACUGAGACACGGCCCAGACUCCUACGGGAGGCAGCAGUGGGGAAUAUUGCACAAUGGGCGCAAGCCUGAUGCAGCGACGCCGCGUGAGGGAUGACGGCCUUCGGGUUGUAAACCUCUGUUAGCAGGGAAGAAGAGAGAUUGACGGUACCUGCAGAGAAAGCGCCGGCUAACUACGUGCCAGCAGCCGCGGUAAUACGUAGGGCGCGAGCGUUGUCCGGAAUUAUUGGGCGUAAAGAGCUUGUAGGCGGUUUGUCGCGUCUGCUGUGAAAGGCCGGGGCUUAACUCCGUGUAUUGCAGUGGGUACGGGCAGACUAGAGUGCAGUAGGGGAGACUGGAAUUCCUGGUGUAGCGGUGGAAUGCGCAGAUAUCANGAGGAACACCGAUGGCGAANGCAGGUCUCUGGGCUGUAACUGACGCUGAGAAGCGAAAGCAUGGGGAGCGAACAGGAUUAGAUACCCUGGUAGUCCAUGCCGUAACGGUGGGCACUAGGUGUGGGGAACAUUCCACGUUUUCCGCGCGUAGCUAACGCAUUAAGUGCCCCGCUGGGGGAGUACGGCCGCAAGGCUAAAACUCAAAGAAAUUGACGGGGGCCCGCACAAGCGGCGGAGCAUGCGGAUUAAUUCGAUGCAACGCGAAGAACCUANCCAAGGCUUGACAUAUACUGGACCGCAUCAGAGAUGGUGUUUCCCUUCGGGGCUGGUAUACAGGUGGUGCAUGGUUGUCGUCAGCUCGUGUCGUGAGAUGUUGGGUUAAGUCCCGCAACGAGCGCAACCCUCGUUCUAUGUUGCCAGCACGUAAUGGUGGGGACUCAUAGGAGACUGCCGGGGUCAACUCGGAGGAAGGUGGGGAUGACGUCAAAUCAUCAUGCCCCUUAUGUCUUGGGCUUCACGCAUGCUACAAUGGCCGGUACAGAGGGUUGCGAUACUGUGAGGUGGAGCUAAUCCCUAAAAGCCGGUCUCAGUUCGGAUUGGGGUCUGCAACUCGACCCCAUGAAGUCGGAGUCGCUAGUAAUCGCAGAUCAGCAACGCUGCGGUGAAUACGUUCCCGGGCCU